GACGAGUCGCGGUGCACGACGACUCGUUAUUUUGUCUUACCUGCCGAAUCCUUCGGCAUCACGUCAGUACGGUGUAGGCUCGGCCCGCAUUCACAGACCUACGUGCCCGCUAGGAGUGCGUUUUGUGCGCAAGUGGCGUGAGAGCGCUCUGCAGAGUAGACUACCCGUUUUCUUCAAGUGCCAGAGGCACCGACAGCGAGCGGCCCUUCGCUGUUGCACUUGCGCUAUCUCUCCUCGUCGCCGCUGGCUAGAGGGUGCGCCUCAUCCCUCCCUAGCAUUUUGGCUGCUUGUGCUUUCCGACGACGCUGUCGACUCGGCUCUGCACGGUCGUCGUCGUCCUCACACGAGAACGAGUUGUUGCUAAAUCUGUCAGGCUUUAGCGUGGGCUAGUUGCGCAGUCGUUUCGCAUUUCUCCCGUCGUCCCUGUCGUCCUCCCCACUCGCUGACGGAUACCCGUGCACGACUCUCUUUUCUUUUCGCCCGGCCCGCUCCGCCUCUCUCCCGCUGGCUCGCCUGCUGACAACAGCCUUCGAAAACCGAAAAGCGGACAUGCUUACGUGCUGCUCUCUUCCUCCGCUCUUGUUUGACCGCAUCCCAUCCGGCAGACGACUUCCCCUGUCCGUUGCACGGCCCUACUCCCUUGUUCUACUUGCGCUCCCCCAUUUGCGCGGUCCUGCUUGAUCACCGGUGCCCACACCGUGCGCGCGCGCGUGUGUGUGUGUGUGUGGGUGGGUGGGUGCAUGGGUGGCCGGUGCUGCUGCUCUAAUCGAACGAUAAAGCGAAUACGGCAGCGGGAGAGCGUCCAGGGCGCUUGGUGACGGAAAACGUGUCCUGCUCACGUGGCUGAGGCGACCCCCGCGCGGGUUUGAGCCUCGACGCUUUUCGGGGACGCUGCCACGGCACAUCUUUUCGUUCGUGUCUUCCCCGCUCCGUCGGCCGCUCUUCGUGCUCUGAGUCAUCGAAGUUGCGCUUGGCGAGGCUGCGCGGUGGACCCUUCGAUUGGACGGCUCACUUCUGCUGAGGGAUUUUCCAGGGUCGCCUGUAUCCCGCAUCUUCCCGCUCUCGGGCCUCGCUGCAGUGGCCAUCCGCCGAACUCGCGUGCGUGCGUGAGAGAUGUACUUUCAUGGGCCGAACAGUGGUGGUGCUGUGGACGGACCGUCGUUGUCUUGUUCGCCGCCGACGAUUUGCACUGGCGCCCAGUCGACAGCGGCGGCCGCGCUCCACGACAUUCACGGCCAGCAGCGUGGCCCAUCACCUUGGACCGCCUUGUCGUCCUACUCGACGUGGAUUAACGCUUCGUUUCUUCGUGCCCUGCACGGCGCGCAUGCGGCCACCCUGAAGGCCUUUGGACAGAGUGAUGGCCAACGCGCUCGCAACGGCGACGGGGUGCGGGAGUCAACGCUGCUCCCGUGUGCGGUCGCGCGCCGGCUCCACGCUUGGUACGAGGCUCUGUCCACCACUCGUGCGUGCGCAGUGGUUCUCCCGCAGGAUGUUGACGGCCAUCUCGUCGUCCACCUCACACUUCUCCUCAUUGGCUGGGAAGUGAUGCAAGCGACAUCCGUCUACCUGCGCCGUCGGCGCGCGAUGCGGGCCAGUGCGAAGGCCGAGGCGGAGGCGACGCAGGCGUGUGACGAGAACGCAGCGGAUGCCCAGGAGUCACGCGGCCUCUCGACCUCGCGGCAAUCAGCGACGGCGCAGGUGCCGUCACCACCGGAGAUGGAGUCGGUGCAGACCAGGCAAUCACUCCUGCCACGAAACUCGACACGGGCGGUGCAUCGGUUGUGCAGUUACUGGGCACUUAUCGAGAAGGCGGUUCUGGCUGCGCCGCGCAAGCGCGCUGGUGCGCCAACGAACGUCGCUGCUCUUGGCUGGUUUGUCAGCUCUGCGCUCGCCGGCCGGAAUUCGGCACAGGGCGGCAGGAACCGUCGCGGGUUUUACCGGCUCCCCUCGGAUGGCGCUCCGCACGAUGCGGGGACGGUGCUCGUGCUGUCGGACAAAUCCGCGUUCCCCGUCAUGACGGAGCCAGGGGGGAACUCGAAAAGGCAGCCGGGUGCGACGUCAUCUGCAGCGUCGCUCGUCACAGCGGAGAAGCCGGCAGAGGUGGCGGAGCCGUGGAGGGUGAUGCAUUUUUUGUGGACUGACAUGGUGCGCUACUCCGUAACGUAUACCGAGCUUCGGCAGCUGCUGCUCGGCUGCAGUGUCGCUGAGAUUGCGAAGGUCUUCGAGAACGCUGGCGACGUGGAUAGCUACCAAGGCGGCCUCUGCGCCGCCUACGGCGCACGCGCCCUGCAGCCUAUAUGGAGGGGUAGAAGCAGCCGCAACGUCUCGCACGAGGCGGCAGCGAGCACAGCGCGCUGCGUCACAAGUCCCCCCUCGAACGGUGUCUCACCCAGCUGCUACGCAGACCCGCGCGCCGCCGUGGCAUGCGUGGCACUGACGUGGUACUUGUCACUCGUGCGCGAGGUGUACGAUGCGGUUAUCGUGCACGAGGACGUCCAGCGCUGCGCAGGCGCGCUCGAGGAGCUUGAGGAGCACAGCAAGGCCGUGUAUCAGCACGGCGUACAGGUCGGACUCGCCUUUUUCGAAGAGGAGCUGCACAGCGCCUCGUACCGCGGUGCCGCGGACGCGAGAAGCGGCGCCGGCGGAGGGUGUGCCUCUGGACAGCCUCACCGUCAUGAGCAUUCAAUGGUGCUUCCCGAGGUUGAGAACACCGCCGACGGCCACGCGGUGCAUGCGGCGGCUAGCUCGUCUGUGUCGAUGGCAGCGGGCGUGCAUCUCAGCUGCCACCGUGCGGGAAACGGGAACCAUUUACGGUGCGGCGAUGCCACUGACAGUCCACUCGCCCUCUCACCGCCACCGCGCGGCCGUGGGGAACGCGUACUAGUGGGUGCGACGCACGCGCCUAUCCGCGUGGCCUCGCCCUUGGCAUGCUGGGCGGAGUUGAAUGCUGCACUAGCUGCUCUGCUGUGGCGGCGGCGGCUGAUGAAGCUGCUGCACGUGCGAAGUCUUUUCUGCUACAUGUACACCGGCAGCGUGGCAAAGAUGGUCUCCUCUGCCGUGCUGGCGGGGCUGACAUGCCUUUCCUCCCGCGUAGCGACGACCGGGCAAGUGGCGCGCGAGGCCAUCAGCUCGAACCUGGACACAUACUAUCGCACGCACGGGGAGAGGUCGCCACCAGGCAGCCAUUCUGACAGCGGCAGCGGACCGCUCCACGGUGGUGCAGUGUCCACGCAGCAGCGCAUCAUUGCCCUAUGCCUGCUCGAGUGCAUGCGUCUCACUGUGAACACGGUGCUCACGCGCACCACGCACGCGUACAUAAACAUGGCAGCCUCGCAGCGGCGCAACACCGUGAAGGCGGAGCUCUACGAGGCCCUGACGCACCUGCCUCUCGCGUUCUUCGACACACACUCAUUUGACGAGGUGGAGCAGAUUGUCUACUACGUCAACGAUAUCGAGGGCGUGGAGGUGCACGUGCACCACUACGUCUGUGGCCUCGUCAUGUCGCUUUUCGCCAUGCAGCACGCCGUCCAUCAGUUACCACGUCGAGCACGCCUGCUAGUGGGCGCCACGGUCGCGGUGUCGCUCACCAUAAAAUGCAUCGGACAACGCAUUAAGCAGUGGGUACAGGUGGCGCAGCGCACCGGAGGAGUGCUCCCGCCGUGGCUGCGCGGCUACGAGUCGGGCGGCGUUGCACCCGGGACGACGGAGCUCGACGCGCAGGUGGAGGAGAACACGGAGAGCAAUGCGCGGCAAGGCGGCGUGAUGUUGCGCGGGUUAGACAUUUUAGCCGUGCUGCCGCAGCUCCGCCCGUACGCGGCGGACCUUAGCUUGAUGCGGUGGUGGACACGCCAUACCCACGCGUGCAGCGCCGCGGCCGGGGCGACAGAGGCAUCAACGUUUCUGCAAGGCGUGCUGGUACUGCCGUUUCAGGCGUACGGCCACCUGCUGCCGGCGUUCGGCGGUGCGCUCAUGACGUUCGCGGACUGGGUGCUGCCAACGCUCGUGGCCAGCUACGGUGCCUCAAUGGCGUUUUGCAGUGUCGAUGCGCUGAGUCUGUCGAAUAGACUCAUCGAGGCCAUGCGGGGCGUCGGCGACACGGUCGAUGCCCUGCUCGACGGCCGCCGCGUCGCGGAGGUGGUGUUGCUGAACGCUUACAAGGCGAAUGUUCUGGAGAAGGUGCUGGAUGGGCGACGGUGGGAGCCAACCACGGCCGAAUACGCGAGGGGCUUCGGCUUCCCCGGCGAGGCGCACAAACACGACCGCAGCAAGGACAAAUAUCACGAUGCCGGUGUCGGUUGCGCGGCACGUGCGACGGAGGUCGGCUCGCCUCGCUGCGACCAACGGCGCCACCUGCUGCAAUCGUUGCGCCGUGCCGACUCCCAUACAGUCACGCCAUCUCCAUCGUCGCUCAUGCUGCGGUGGAUGCGCGUCCUCAAGCACAAUUGCUGCUGGUGCGUCACACACGCCCCACCUAUUAGUAUUCUCGGACGAUUUUUGCGACUUGUACGACGCGGGCUUGCAACGAUGGGGAUCGUAAAAAAAGACCGCCGCGGCAACAGCCGACGCCAAUCACGGAAGGCCUACCGCCAUCACCGCCGUCCAAACCGGCCAUGCCAUAUUUCCUGCCGGCGGAGACGUCCGUCACAGCAAGAGGACCAGCAGCCAUUCAAGAGUCCUCGAUCUCUAGCGCCGGGCAGCGCGAGUGAAGCGACGGAUGCGUGUCUGAGCAACCACUCGUCCGAGGACGAUAACGGCCGCGGCGCUGAUGCCUGCGCCUCGUCGUCGCCACUUAGCGACGAUUCCGACGUCGACCGUGAAGCUGCAGCGGCGGCCACCGUGGCGCUGCUCACGAGCGGCAGUGUGCACGCCGUGACAGUGCGGAACGUGCAGUUUUGCUAUCCCACUGCCCCUACGGUGCCGGUGUUCUCACACCCCAUCACGUGCUCCUUCGUGCUCCAAGGCGACCGCGAUGCGUCUUCGCCGUCGCCGUCGAGUGCCUCGCAGCCGCAGACGGCAAGGUGCGGCUGUAGCAGCAGAGGCCGUCUGGUGUGUCUUGUAGGGCCCAGCGGCCACGGCAAGUCUACUCUGCUCAGCCUGUUAUUGGGGAUGUACACGCAUUACGGGACGCCUAGUCGCGUCCUCGACAAUGACAACGAUGCCAGCAGGGGUGGUGGCGGCGGCGAGGCGCAACAGCAGGGCGGCGCUGAAGCGCGGGAGGGAGAGGAGGCGCUCUUCAAUCCUUCAUGCCCUGCGGUCAUUCCGGACAUCGUGCUCACGCUGGCGUUGCCGCGUUCGCUGGCCUACUCCUCCGAAGAGCUGGGGUCAGCCGGCUUGCAGGAUGCCACGCCGACCCCAGCUGCAUCUGCCAUGUUGGAGAUGGUUUAUGAGCAGCUGUCUGUUGCCUCGAUUCCGCGCGACAUCCUUCGCGGAAAGCUCUUCAGUUUUGUGCCGCAGAACCCCGUGAUCUUUUCCGGGGCCACCAUAGCGCACAACAUCAGCCUUGAGAAUUACGUAUCCCUUGAGCAGGAGGAGCUGCUGGCGGAGAUUGCGCAGUGCGCUGCCUGGGCACACUGCGAGUACAUUCAGCGCUUUCCGCAAGGCUUGCUGACGUACAUUGCUGACAGCGGAACAGGGGCUUGGUCGUCUCCACUCGCGUCUGCAGGUACUGGAGGCUGCGGCGCCGGUGGUGGUGGUGUGGUGCGCCUCAGCAUUGGCCAGGCGCAGCGACUGAUGAUGGCACGUGCUCUGUUCCACGGUCGGCGCGGCGGCACCGUGCUCGUGAUGGACGAGCCCACCGCGAGUCUGGACAAGGAGGUGAAGCUGCAAAUACUGGGCGAGUGGCGCGAGUUGCUGGACUCUGGUAUUGUACGCGGCGCGAUAUGCGCAACCCACGAUGACGAUCUCAUCGCGGUGGCAGAUCAGGUCGUGCGUCUGCCGUAGCCUCGGAGAGGCUGAGACUCACGUGCAUAUUGUCUCGGCCAAAAAGGAGGGUGGUAAGGGGGCGUGCUGAUGGGUGCCGUGGCUUCCUCACUCCGCGCGUGCCAGCAUCCUUGCAAUGUCUGUGUACUGCCCCUCGACGGGGCGCGAGUGAGUGCACGAGCACUGCCAAGAGGCUCCUACUGCUGUUGCUGCUGCACAGUCGGCUCUCAAGAGCAGCGACAGGAGACAACGAAGGAAAGACUCGUCGAAGGACGCAACGGUGCCGGUGGAGUCGAGCAUGUGUGUGAAGUGAGGCAUAGAAAGCGGGCGACAAGACGCCCUUCUGCCUCUCUCCCUACUGCUGCCAUCAUCGCUGUUCGUGAACCGGGACGCGUGCUGGUCAGGUUACCGGAUGGAGGCGCUGGGUUCGCUUCGUGAUGCUGACGUGCCCAACGUGAUUCCUUCUCUACCGUGUCUUUUAUGUGCGCCCUCUCACAUCUUUUAACGGUACCUGUUCGUCUUCUGCAGCCGGCUGCCGUGUUGGGCACCCACCCUCAUCUAUCCCUCAUCAGCAUUCCCAGCCCGCCUACCCUUCAUGCUCUCGCUCGUCGAUGAAUGGCGUAGUAUGCGUCCGCCAACGAAGAAGCAAGUGAGACGUUGCGCUUGCUGACCGUGACCGCGGAGCGCCGCUUCAGUUGAUGCGCUCUUUCUGUGCUGAGUUUCUCGCCUUCUCCCUUUCUGACAGCAUCUUUCACCGCUUCAGCGCAUGAGGGUCGGAGGAGGACGACGCACACUGGUAGGCGCGGACUCACGGACAGCGCUGCUGUCUCUUCACGGCAACACUUGCGUCUUUGCUUCUCUCCUGUAGCCCAUCUGCUGUGGCUGAUUGCCCGCGCUGCGUAUGCCCCCCCCCUGUGCGCUCCCAGCUCCUCUAUCCCUUAUCCGCUUGAGAUGUCGUCCGUUCGCGCUGGUGAUGAGGAAAGCAUCUCUUGCCCAGCGUGCCGACACGCUAACCGAGACGGUAGCAGUGUGCCGCACCUUGCCCAGCUGGUGUGCCGCUCUUCGUGGCACGUGUUCGCUUCCCUCCGCGUGCCGUCUUCGUUGUGCACGCGCGAGCGCAUGCUUGCCUUGUGUACUCCCGUCUCUAGCGGUGCCUAAGGAACGCCUUCUCGCUCUCUCGCCCACUCUUUCU
rnacentral:misc_RNA from 1 species